UUCUGACUUUCGUAAACCGAUGAAAACCUCUGAACUGUCAGCGCACAGAUUAGCGACGAAAUAAGCGACAGUUUACUGUCAUCUUUUAAAUGAAUAUAUGAAAUAUUUAUCCCUUAAAUACAUACCUUAUAUUUCUUCUUCAUGUUAGCUUUUGUGCUCAGCGACACUGAGGUUUAUGCGAAGACUCGUUGUUAGUGCCGACCUGACUGUUGAGCAUCACUAAACUGAGAGACGCAGCACCAGAGGAAGCAAAGCUGAUGCCACCAG